UACCAGCGGUUCAAGUCGCAUCCACAUUUAUUGGGUCUAAAACAUCCGUAGCUUGCUUAUUAAGUCUCUUGUGAAGUCCCAUGUCUUAAGCAUGGGGCUUGCGGGAGAUACUGGUAGGCUAGAGAUCGGUAGACGUAAGGAGUACGUUGGGGGUAGCGGUUAAAUGUGUUAAUCCUCAGUGGACUAACGAUGAGCGAAGGCACCUUACGAGAACGAAUCUGACAGUCAGGGAUGAAGGCCAGGGGCGCAAAACGGAUUAGAUACCCGUGUAGUCCUGGCAGUAAACACUGCUCACUAAACAUCGGGCCCUCUUAGGGAGGAUUCGGUGCUGAAGCGAAGGCGAAGAGUGAGCUACCUGGGAAGUAUAGUCGCAAGAUCGAAACUUAAAGGAAUUGGCGGGGAGACAUACAACGAGUGACGCGUGCGGUUUAAUCAGAUUCUACACCGUGAACCUCACCAGGAGCGACAGCAGGAUGAAGGUCAGUCUAAAGGGCUUACCUGACACGCUGAGCGGAGAUGCAUGGCCGACGUCAGCCUGUGCUGUGAAGUGACUUGUUAAAUCAAGUAACAGGCGAGACCCGCGUCUAUAAUUACUACAGAAAUGUGUACAUUAUAGAGACCGCCUCGGUAACGGGGAGGAAGGUGCGGGCUACGUCAGGUGGUAUGCCCCUAAUCCCCUGGGCUACACGCGCGCGGCAAUGGUAUGUUCAAUGAGAUGCAACUCCGAGAGGAGGAGCUAAUCCCCUAACACAUAUCUCAGUCCAGAUUGUGGGUUGCAACCCACCCACAUGACGCUGGAAUUCGUAGUAAUCGGAUAUUAGCACUGUCCGGUGAAUAAGUCCCUGUCUCU
rnacentral:rRNA from 1 species